GAAAACCAACUAGAAUGGAUGUUAGAGAAAUAUUAAAGCAAAACUAAGAUACAUAUCAAGAAUACAAAACACAGUUUGGCUAUUUGUCCUCAAAAAGAUAAAUCAAUCAGCAAUUUCCAUUAUUAUUAAUUUUCCCAACCAAAUGUAAGUUUUUCAGUUCUGUAUGGCUUCAUGUUCAUCUCCUUUUCUAACUGCAAGUGGCAGCCAAGAUUUCAUCCCCAAUAGAUAAAUCUACUCUAUGGCUUCCAGUUGCUCAGAUAAAUUGUAUCCUUUAUUCCAACUAUAUUUAUUGAUAAUGAAACGCCCAAAUCUCCCCCUUCUAAUCGCAAGAAUUCUAUAAUUUCGCUCUCUCAUUCUUCCGCUUCCAACACUAAAUCAAAUCCAACCUUACUAUUAGUGAGCAUGAUCUCUAUUUGUGCCUUACCUAAUACGAUCAAUUUCAACCCUUCGCUAACAGAAGCCUAACUGUCCCAAAUCUAAACUGAACAAGAAAGAUUCAAAUGAUCUCUUCAAGUAAGUUUCAAGCGAAGAAGGAAUAAAAGCAGCUGCAUUCAAAUGUAAUAUGUUUGCUCUUUCUACUUUGACUGAAGUGGUUCCCAGCUAUACAGGGAUACACAUCAACCUAACUAUCUGGAUUUCUUCAGCGCUAAUAUAAACCAAUUGAAACGGACAAGAUAAUUUAAUUUUGCUGGCAUCAACAUACUCAUUACCAUUGUGAUAAUGGAAUCAUUAACGGUCGGGGGAGGAUGUGGUGGAAUUUAUAGUAGAACAUAAUACUGGAGUGUCUGACAGGCCACCUGGUUGCAUUAAGGAACUCGCUUAACAUCCUUACUCUAAUCUCACUUUCUGCACCUCUCCCUUCUGGAACAUCCAUCUGUUAACUGCUGGAACGAAGCUUUCCCUUGCUUGACAAUUACGCGGGGAUUAAAUACAGCACAAGCAUACUCGCUGACAAGGGAUUGAGGAAGCCUCUAUGUGACUACAUACAUCUGCUAGCUUAAAGACGUUAGAAGUUUUAUAUUUGGAAAUAGUCGCGGACGGGUAUAUUGAUCUGCUUCUGGAUAAAUAAAUAUUCAAUGCUUAAAUUUUCCACGCACUCCAUAUAUUGGUUAACACUGUAUUUAGCUGACUCUGUAUAAUUUUAAUUUUUAACUGUUCUUAUAGAUUCUGAGCUCUAUUGAGUAAUUUUACUUACAAGCACCUCCAAUCAUCGUUUAUGCGAUGGUGAUUAUAAAUAUUUGUACUUCGUGGUGGGCAGAGCUCCUUCUGAUGAGAAAAAAGACGCACGGCAAGCGCUUCUGAUCCGCUCUAAAUUUUUGACUCGAUGGUGGUUAUUUGUGUAUGUGGCACAAGGGGUGCACAGUUUCCUUGGUUUUUAAUAUAAUUAGUUAUUGUAUGCUGUAAAUAUAUUAUCAUAGUUUUUGUAGUGGCUCCCCUAUUCAGAUGAAAGAUAAUUUUCAGUAUAAUAAGGCAGCAAUUCAUAAAUUGUAGUAUAUCAUUUGAUUUAUAUUAUUUUACACUCAUCGAAGUAUGCUUUAAAUUGUUUCUUGA